rnacentral:rRNA from 1 species
UACGUAGGGUGCAAGCGUUAAUCGGAAUUACUGGGCGUAAAGCGUGCGCAGGCGGCUUUGCAAGACAGAUGUGAAAUCCCCGGGCUUAACCUGGGAACUGCAUUUGUGACUGCAUGGCUGGAGUGCGGGAGAGGGGGAUGGAAUUCCGCGUGUAGCAGUGAAAUGCGUAGAUAUGCGGAGGAACACCGAUGGCGAAGGCAAGCCCCUGGGCCUGCACUGACGCUCAUGCACGAAAGCGUGGGGAGCAAACAGG